rnacentral:rRNA from 1 species
AUUGAACGCUGGCGGAAUGCUUUACACAUGCAAGUCGAACGGCAGCACGGACUUCGGUCUGGUGGCGAGUGGCGAACGGGUGAGUAAUACAUCGGAACGUGCCCAGUCGUGGGGGAUAACGUAGCGAAAGCUACGUUAAUACCGCAUACGAUCUAAGGAUGAAAGCGGGGGAUCGCAAGACCUCGCGCGAUUGGAGCGGCCGAUGGCAGAUUAGGUAGUUGGUAGGGUAAAGGCCUACCAAGCCGACGAUCUGUAGCUGGUCUGAGAGGAUGAUCAGCCACACUGGGACUGAGACACGGCCCAGACUCCUACGGGAGGCAGCAGUGGGGAAUUUUGGACAAUGGGCGCAAGCCUGAUCCAGCCAUUCCGCGUGCAGGAUGAAGGCCUUCGGGUUGUAAACUGCUUUUGUACAGAACGAAAAGGCUCUGGUUAAUACCCGGGGCUCAUGACGGUACUGUAAGAAUAAGCACCGGCUAACUACGUGCCAGCCGCCGCAGUA